rnacentral:tRNA from 1 species
GCCUUCGUGGUUUAGUGGUGAGCACGCUCGAGGCAUAUUCAAGAGAUCCGUGGUUCGAAUCCCGGCGAAGGCA